UGCUACUCCUCCUCCUCCUACUACUACAACUACGACUACUGCUACUGCUACUCCUACCCCAGACAACGGGAAUGGGCUUUCACCAGGGAUUAUUGUUCUGAUUGUGAGCAUCACAGCCCUGUUGCUUCAAAACUCCUGCAUGUAAAAGUGUCGUCAGCAGAAGAGGAUUACCCCCAGAAAUCUUGAAACUCCCCCUCUGGAAAUCAGCCUCUGCACUCAGGACCAUUCAAGCAGCUUGUCUGAUUAGCCAAUAGCAAUUUACAGCUUUGACAGGAUGCCCAUGUCCACUUCUUGUUUCCUGUUUUACUUCUCUGGGCAUCAUUAAACUCUGCACUGAUUUGGAAUGUUUGCAUUGGAAGCUGCUUUGUAACACAGGCCAAUUACAGAGAUUAUGUUAAACUAGUGAAAAAUCUGCUCUCUUAAUACUUUAUUCACUAAAAGUUUAUGUAAUAAAAAUACUGCUGCUGAAUUGAACCACUUAGUCUUAAAAAACUGUUUAUAAACUAAACAGUUCUGAGGUUGGUGUCUAACAAAAGGCAUCAUAUAUGCCUGAAUGCAAAACAUGCCAAAUGCUUUACUUUCUGUGCGUUUUUAAAGUUUCCUUAAAUCACCUUUUUGGAAUAUCAUCUCCAUGAUUAUGUUAACCUUUUGUGACCAUUUUUUGUUUUGUUUCGCUUUUGAAAAUCGGCUAAUUAGGUUCCAGAUUUUUUUUAAAUUCCAUCGGUGAAAUUGUUUCCCUUGUUAAUAUAUUUGUUAACCAUCUACUGUCCAGAAGAUAUAUUUUUUUUAGUAGCAGGACUUAAGUAUCAACUGUAGUCACAUAAUUUGUAUUGAAAGUAAUCUCAAAGAGGUGUGCACUUUGUAUUUAUUAAAAUGACGACAGAUUUUAAAUUUUGUGCAGGCAGUUGUGAAACUAUAAUUCUUUUUGUAAUUAAAAUAAAUGAAAACGCAA